GUCUCCGUGGUCCAGUGGUUACGACGUCCGGCUGUUAUUACAAUCAUAUCUCAACGAUAUGAGAGACUACCGGGAUAUCGGCGGUUCGAUCCCGCCCGGGGACG